rnacentral:rRNA from 1 species
UACGGAGGGUGCGAGCGUUGUCCGGAAUCACUGGGCGUAAAGGGCGCGUAGGCGGCCUGAUAAGUAGGGGGCGAAAUCCUGCGGCUUAACCGCAGGGCUGCCUUCUAAACUGUCGGGCUAGAGCACGGUAGAGGCAGAUGGAAUUCCCGGUGUAGCGGUGGAAUGCGUAGAGAUCGGGAAGAACAUCAGUGGCGAAGGCGGUCUGCUGGGCCGUUGCUGACGCUGAGGCGCGACAGCGUGGGGAGCAAACAGG